UGCAUUGUUGCGCAACAGAUGUAGUUUUCUCUCUGCACCUUUACUCACUUGAGAGGUGGACUGCACUUUUAUUUUAUUAAGCACCUUUGUGAAAACAUCGCAGCCGAGAGAUUUAUUCAACUGUUUCUUUUCAGUUACAAGAUCAAGAUGGUCGAAACAAAAGAAGUUUCAGCCACAGAGCCAGUUUCAGCCACGGAGCAAAUGACAAAAUUCAUCUGGUCACCAAAGGGGAUGAUUUUAGCUAUUGAAAUUAGCUGGUCUGGGCCUUUAUCAUCUUCAUCAUUUAUGGCAUGGAACUGCAGAUACGGGCAUUGCCAUGGACGGUAAAAUGUCCAUAUACUGGAUAUUGGAUUCUCUGGAUUUAAUUUUUUUUUUAACCAAUUAUUACCUAACCACCAUGUUAUAAGUGCAUUUCACUCAAAGGUUUUUGUUCUCAACCUCUUCCAAUUUAUACUGAAAAUUAACAAACAAGUCACAUGUUCUCAUUUGCUUGCAGGACUUCUUCAGAGCAAUCACAGGCUCACUCACCUUACUCAUUACUUCUAUUAUCUGCAUUAGCUGGGCAUUGAGAAGUUCUGGGGAAGUUGCUGGUUCGAUUUUUGGUUUGCUGGCAGCAGCAGUGUUCGGAUAUGAUACUUUUGCCAUAAUGAAAUACAUCAAGGAACUGAAAGAGCAGGGGGGAAAUAUUAGUAAGUAUGAUGCAUCAGCACCAACAUCCCUAAAUAAUCACCUUUAGAGUUAUAUGUGAGGGCUUGUGAAUGUGUCCUUUUCACAUUUAAAAAAAAAAAAAAAAAAAAAAAAAAAACUAAAUAGAA